CCUACGGGCGGCAGCAGUGAGGAAUAUUGGUCAAUGGGCGCGAGCCUGAACCAGCCAAGUAGCGUGAAGGAUGACUGCCCUACGGGUUGUAAACUUCUUUUAUAAAGGAAUAAAGUGAGGCACGUGUGCCUUUUUGUGUGUACUUUAUGAAUAAGCAUCGGCUAACUCCGUGCCAGCAGCCGCGGUAAUACGGAGGAUCCGAGCGUUAUCCGGAUUUAUUGGGGUUAAAGGGUGCGUAGGCGGGUUGUUAAGUCAGUUGUGAAAGUUUGCGGCUCAAACGUAAACUUGCCAUUGAUACUGGCAGCCUUGAGUACACUUGAGGUAGGCGGAAUUCGGGGUGUAGCGGUGAAAUGCUUAGAUAUCACGAAGAACUCCGAUUGCGAAGGCAGCAUACUAAACUGCCACUGACAUUGAUGCUCGAAAGUGUGGGUAUCAAACAGGAUUAGAUACCCUUGUAGUC
rnacentral:rRNA from 1 species